rnacentral:misc_RNA from 1 species
AGGAUCCUGCUUAAAUCCGGAGAAACAUCAGUCAAUCCACCAUCCUCACCCCGACUGUCACCAUUCCUUCUUGCUCUAUCAUAAUCACCCCCUUCUCUUGCAAUGUCAUCCAAUACAGGCUUCCUCCCCAUCUCUAUGUCACCUACAGAUUUUUCUAUGUUUGCACCCACAAAACUACCCAUUCUGGGUGGAAUUUCAGGCUCCUUGCAAACUUUUGUCCUGAAAUUAUUCUUAGAUGGAGGAAUGCUAGAGCAAAAGAUCUCCA